rnacentral:rRNA from 1 species
AUGAAGCUCCUAUGCUGGAAUAUUAGGGGCUUCGGCGACCUAGGCCGCCGACGCCAGCUGAUUGACUACAUCCGACAGGAAGACAUCGAUAUUGUUGGCCUUCAAGAGACGGUUCGUCAGGACUUCUCCAUUCAGGAGCUUCAGGGGCUCUCUCGACACCCUUUUGCCUGGCAAUGGCUCCCGGCUUCUUGGCAGUCUGGAGGCAUUCUCCUGGGG